rnacentral:rRNA from 1 species
UACAGAGGUCCCAAGCGUUGUUCGGAUUCACUGGGCGUAAAGGGUGCGUAGGCGGCCGGGUAAGUCUGAUGUGAAAGCUCGGAGCUCAACUCCGAGAUGGCAUCGGAAACUAUCCGGCUCGAGGAAUGGAGGGGAGACUGGAAUUCUCGGUGUAGCAGUGAAAUGCGUAGAUAUCGAGAGGAACACCAGUGGCGAAGGCGAGUCCCUGGACAACUCCUGACACUGAGGCACGAAAGCUAGGGGAGCAAACAGG